rnacentral:lncRNA from 10 species
UCUGGGAGCGGACAAGAUACAGUAAACAAUUGGCUUGCAUUGCACCUUCCUACCCAAGCAGCUUGGUUUUCUUUCGCUUUGACCCUGUAAUUUCUUUCCCACUUCGUUGUCGUCUCUGAAUUACCUUUCUCUUGAUUCUUGCCCAUUAGCAUCCUCCAAUUUCAGAUGUUUGUAGAUCCCCAAGUGUUCCCAGGGAAAACUACUAGAAAAGGAGAAAACUGAAUGGGCUACCUUUGAAGUCCAGGGCACCCUCCUCUAUCUUGUUCACUUCCUCAUCAGGCACUAUCUAUGGACUGAGAAGAGAAGGACUUUAAAACAGUGGUAAAGAAAGCAACAAAGACAAUGACUGGCAAGACAGAAGAAUUGUGCAGAGAAAGAGGAACACUGUGACCCGAUCAAGGACGAAAUGAUUCCCAACCUCCUUAGAGCCUUGCUGGUGCCGAGAUGUCUGUGAUCAUCAGUCACCUCUUCAUCCCAACUCCCUUCUAUUCCCCCCACCCUUAACAUAAAAAGAGCCUGAAAUGUGUACUGACUUAUUUUAGGAUGCAAGUCCACCAUCUUCUUGGUUUACUGGCUUUCCAAAUAAACUGGUUGUUUCUCCCACCAACUCAUGUCUCUCGUGUUUAGCUUUUGAGCAGUGAGUAGCUGAAUCUGGGUUUGGUUACAGUUUUAUGGC